rnacentral:rRNA from 1 species
AACGAACGCUGGCGGCAUGCCUAACACAUGCAAGUCGAACGAUGCUUUCGGGCAUAGUGGCGCACGGGUGCGUAACGCGUGGGAAUCUGCCCUUGGGUUCGGGAUAACCGUUGGAAGCGACGGCUAAUACCGGAUGAUGACGUAAGUCCAAAGAUUUAUCGCCCAGGGAUGAGCCCGCGUCCGAUUAGGUAGUUGGUGGGGUAAAGGCCUACCUAGCCGACGAUCGGUAGCUGGUCUGAGAGGAUGAUCAGCCACACUGGGACUGAGACACGGCCCAGACUCCUACGGGAGGCAGCAGUGGGGAAUAUUGGACAAUGGGCGAAAGCCUGAUCCAGCAAUGCCGCGUGGGUGAUGAAGGCCUUAGGGUUGUAAAGCUCUUUUACCCGGGAUGAUAAUGACAGUACCGGGAGAAUAAGCCCCGGCUAACUCCGUGCCAGCAGCCGCCGUAA